UAAACAUUUACAUGGUGACAAGAUGUGCCG
rnacentral:piRNA from 1 species